CUAUGGGUAGCUUAUGUUUGAAAGCUUCGGGUUCUUACUCCGGUGAUGUCUUUGGACUCUGUAGG
rnacentral:tRNA from 1 species